ACUGCCCGGCCAGCCCCGGAGGGAGGCUGGGCAGGUGCUGCGGGCUCUGCCGAAAGCGCUGAAAUAAAAAACCAUCGCCACUCAGGGAGAACUGAGGCAAGUGGGGCUGAGACUCUGGCGACACCCCCGCCCCCCAGCCUCUGCCCCAGCGCCUGCCGCCCUGCCGCCCUGCCGCACCCCGCCUGCUUGGGUGGCGACCGCGGUUCCGGAACGCGAAGCAGGGCAGAGGGCUGCAGAGAGGCGUGUAGCUUUGUGCGCCAGGACCCGGUGGGGCAGGUGGCAGCCCCGGGCUGUCCGCGCCUCCCAGCAGAGCCGAGCUCGGCGCCGCCCACCGAGCCCACCUCGCGGUCCAGCCGCCGCCAGCGCCUUUCGGCUCUGGCCUGAAGCAGUACUCCCGCCUCCUGGAGCGGGUAAGUUGAGAGUCCGGAGAGCAGGGCAGGGAGGCGGGGCGGCUGGUCCCAGAGCGGAGGGCCGGACUGGCUCCCCGCCGGGCUGGGGGCGCAGGCUCCAUAGGAUCUCAGUCGAGGGGUUCUGAGUGCGUGUUUGGGUGGGAAGCAGGGCUGUGGAGCGCCAGAGCUUCCCCUCCCAAAUUCCCAGGCGCUGGGCACUGGGGAGUGGAGCAGAAGCAGAGGGACCUUGGGUUCCGGGGCCCAGCGGCCUUCCACGCUGGUCUGGGAACCAAGCAAGCCCUAGGGCAGUGCGAGGACUGGGAAGGGACCCUGGGGGACCGCUAGAGGAGGUGGCGCGUGGAGGGCGCCUGCACCCUGGGGUCGCUCAGAGCGGAGAGUCUCGGGUGGAUAGGUCAGCUUGCAGAUCCUCUAGGUCUCUUCUCUGCUCUCUGGCCGCUCUGAUUGCGGGAUCUGGGACUUGGCGCCCGUACAGGCCGGGUCACCUGUGCAGAACAAAUUUGCUGCCAUCAUCCCCGCUUCAAUCCUGGCCCCGGCGAUCUAAAAUAUCGCCUUCAGGUGGGGCAGGGAGAAAAGAUGUCUUUGGGGUUUAAAUAGUGUUCUCCUUGUACCCGGACCAACUGGCAUUUAUUUACAAAUGUCACCCGCCACCCCAGCACUGGGAAAGUCUCAACCACAUCUGGAGAACGCCCGAGAGACCUCCCACUCUCUCCUUGUUUUGGGUUACAGGGAAAGCCAACGGGUCUGCAGGCCUCCGGGAGACGAGGAUCCGGAGGGUUGGGGCAGCUGCACCCACUUGGCCUUGCUCAGCUCUAAACAGCCGACCAGGAGGCCGGGGGAAGGUUUGCCCUGUGGGGGCAACGCCCCUUCCGGCUCCCAGGAUGUCGGGAGGCGGAGGCUGGCCGGGUGGCCCGUAGUCUGGGCCUCCCCGCAAGCUGCAAACUGAGGCGCUUGGCGCGGGCGGCCAGGGAGGGCGCAGGGGAGCGCAGCACGCAGGCGGGGAGGCCGCGAAGCCCUUCAAGGACCCCGAUUACUUUCCUUUGAAAAACAACAACAACAACUGCUCCCUCCCCGCACCCCCGCCCCCCGCCUUAGCCUCCGGGGACUGGCGCUCCAAGCAAUUGUCGCCCCGGACAGUAAACACAGCUCAGUUGCCUCAACUUUCUCCAUGCAUAAAAGUUCCUGGCGUGCGGGGAAAUUUGAAUAUUUGAUCAGCCCCUUUGAGUGACCCUCAUUAGUCCGGCGCCCUGCUAAGGCCGGGCAUUGCAAGAAAGCUGCUGGGCUCGGCAUUUGUACGCCUUGUUAGCGCAGCUUAAUGAAGCCGCCCCGACGGCUCAAAGGCGGCCUCAGGGGCCGGCGACGCGCACCUCUCGGCACCCUGCUCUGCCUAAUGAGCCCCGCCGCCCUCUAAAGGACCCUCCACCCCCCACAUUCUGAAACAGGGGAAGUUUGGCUCUGUCUUGAACCACGGCACCUCCCACUGCCAGGCCCAGGAGGGUGGGCACAAACCCAGCCUAGCUGCCUGCAGUUACCCAUUCCCAAGAGAGAGGGGCUGGAGAGUUGGGAGGUGUGAGCCAUACUGGUUGGGGGCAGUGCAGGGAGGGGAGCGGGUGGCAGGAGAGGCUUUUGCUGUCUCAGGAUCCAGCCCAGGGAGUGCACUGCCAGCCUCUCCCAAGUGGACCAAUUGCAAAUCAAUUAGUCACUCCAGUUCCUUAAAGGUGCAUCUGGACUAAUGCUGGGGUGGCUGAGGGUCAGCCUUCCAUCCUCCUAUCACCUUAGGUUCCCUUGGCUUCCACUGCCCAGAGGCCACACACUUCUUCCCAAGGUUCCCCUUCUGAACAGCCAGACCUGGUGUGCCAGGACUUGGAUUUGAGAAAGGGUGGGCAGCUCCCCUCCCUAACCCAUCAUUGCCUCCACCAUUCACAGAGCCCAGUCACAUGUUAUGACAAGUGGCAGUAGGGAAGGCAGGGGACCACAGCCCGUCCUGCACUCCCCCUCAACAGAGGUAUCCCUUCUUUGGCUUCUAGUCCCAGGGAGGCCUGGCAAAAAAAGUGCUAUAGGCAAGACCACCCUGCAAGACUGGCCUGGCAGCCUGGCAGAGAGGCAGAGAGCCAGAGCCCUGGAAGGAAGGGAAACCAAAGCAGUCAUCUACUUCACCUUUUCUUAGUGGGGCAGCUGACAUGGCUGGCCAGUAAAUAUAAGACACCCUCUUAAAAAUUGUGCUUCAGUCCUCAGGAAGUGUAGCCUUCCUUCCCUUUCUGUCUCCCCUCUCCUCUGAUGCCCUUUUCCCUGGACAGUCGGAGCUCAAGGUCCUUCACUCCCUCCUUGCAUACACAGCUCUUGGGCCCUUAAGGGUUACUUUUGGGGGGAAUUAAUGCUCUGGGCUUGGGAAGCAGGCUGCUCCAAAUCCACACUCAGGACUUUCUGGACCCCACCCCCCAACACACAAACACAAACAUGCCCAGGAUCCCUCAGACACACAGUGGGCCUGGUCAGGUUGGUAACCUCAGGACCCCGUGCCCGCGUGAGCGUCUCUGGGAGGUCGUGGAAAGGAACCAAAAGGCCAGGUAGGCCCUGGGAUACAGAGAGCCCUCCAAGUCCAUCUGGUUUGCUUCUCUUCCUUUCUCUCUCCCUAGCUCCGCUAGCAUGCCCUGCCCCAUUUCCCAUCACAUAACCCCCUAACUUAACCCUAAACUGGCAAUCUUUAGGCAUCACCUCUGAGCUGGGCAAAGGCGGUGCCCGGGCCUUGAUCGACCCAGAGGGCUAAAGUAGGGGCGGGGAAGGGAGGGGUGUGCGCUGCUGGUGAGAAAGGGGACCUGAGGCGAGGGUAGAACUCAGCCCUGUGGCCUCGAGGCCAGGCCCACCGGCUGCUCAGGGGAGGAGGCGAGGGGAGGGGGCUGGGAGUCCGCAGGCAUCGGUCGGGGCAGCAGGGACCUCAGGCGUCGGCGUGGGGGGCUAGAUCCGGAGGAGAGGGGAGGGGAGGCGGGGGUCGGGGGAUCGCGCAGGGCGGAGGAGGGGUGCAGCUCUUUAAGAGCCACACGGCUGGCAGGAGAGGCGCGCGGCCCGGUGCUGGUAGAGCACUGACCCCGAAGGGGAUUUAGCGGGAAGAGAGUGGCCGGGCUCUGGGGGUUUUGUCCGAGGGGGCCGGGAGAGGCCGAGACACAAGAAUAAGGAGCGGCCGCGGCAUGAAAGGCGGCGAGGAGAGGCAGCACUGCUGCUCUUGACUUCUGAGCAGGGCUUAGAGAGCCUGCCCCGGCUUAAGCCGAGCUGCUGGUGCUGACCCUGAGCGCCGAGUCCGCGAGCUCUGAGUCCGGAGCCUCCCAGCCGUGGAGCCGUGGGAUGAGGGGGGCGUUGGGGGACAGGGCAAAGUCGAUCUUGGUUGUACAGCCGCCCGAUCCUAGCGCGGAGCUGCGAGCCUGACCGGCCGCGUCUGGCAUGGUCAGAGAAAGAAUUUUCUUUUCCCAACUCCGGCUUUUGGUUUUGUGUGUCCACCUUGCGCAACUCCGGAGCCAGCCGACCCCACAUGGAUUCUCAACAGGUGGCCGGGAAAGUCUGGAGACUCACCAAGCUGAGGAGGAAGAAGGGAACAUCUCAACCCAAGCUGAAUUCUGAAGAACACUUGGCCCCAUCUUCCAGAAAUCCUAAAUCACAUAGAGGGAAAGUUUUGGCCAGGGCACCAAGAAUGAACCAGAAGCUGAGUCCAUUACUCCAAUUUUCACAUUAACCAGGAGACACAUUGAAAAUUCUUUUCUUGAGUGAGAGACUGAAAUUUUGGCUCAAGGGUGUUUCUGUUGGGUCUUCUCUUUAUAUGGCAUGUGAGGACUGCAUCCCACGUCACAUCUGCAGCCACUCCCAGAUUACACUGCAAGGGAGGGUAGAUUAGGAGUGGGUAGGGAGUAGAGGGGUCUGUAGACACAGCAAAAGCAGCAAGCUGGUGUGGGAAAACCCAGAAAAUAUGUCUCAGAGACAGCCAGUGGCUGCACAUACAAAAGGAAGGCACCUACCUGGAAGAGAAGGGGUUGUGAAGUUCUGCCCAGAGUCACAGCGCUGACGUCCUCAGAAGGUCUCCAGCCCUCUGCAGCAAUCUAUAGUAUGCAUCAGUAUGGUUGGAAAAGCUUCUUCUAUCAAGUUUAACAACUUUCUGGUGUAACUUCUGAGAGGGCUGAUUGCUUAUUCAUGCGGAAGCAAGACGCCCAGUUCAUUUUGCCCGUUUUUGCUACUCUUUGUUGGGUUUGGGAGGCUGUUAUGGUAGCUGCAAAUGGCUUCUCAAGUGACAUUUGCUGACAUUCAGUGAAGUACAUUUAUCAGUAUUCGCCAGCUCACCUCUACACAUGCAAUCCAUUUUGUUUUGUUCUUCAUAGCAAACUCCUUUCCGACACCCGUGCCCUGAAAAUGAUAAAUGGCAAGGUGGCAUAUUUCUGAAGCUGCACUCAAGUGUCACUGUGAAAAAUCUUUAAUGGACUAAGUGUAGCUUUUCAUGUUACAGCUUGUCAGGUACUGAGAAAUUCUAGAGUUUGUCUUUAAUCCUCAAGUCUUUGGAACCACACUUCUGCAAGCAGAGACUAAUUAUAAGCUGCACCACUCAGACCUGGGCAAGCAGAAACCAAGGAGAAAACAUUUGAUAUCAGCAAAUUCUUUAUUAUUAUUAUUAUUAUUAUUAUUAUUCUCAUUCCAUUUUUGCUCCUUCCUUUCCUACUCAAGAUAUUUGAGGCAUGAGCAAUCUGUGACUCUAAUUAAGGGGGUGACAGCCCCAACCAGGCCACCAUGCAGGCUUAUAAUCCACUCAUACACCCAGCUUUCUCCAUAAUGGCUUUAUUCUUUUCCUCCAAGGUUCAAAAUCACCAUGACUUCUCCCCCACAAAAAAAAAAAAAAAAAGAAAAAGAAAACUGACUCUGAAUCAUAAAUCCUGGCUCCCAAAUAUUGGCCAUAAUUGGGUAGGUGAGAUGUAUCUUGUAUGUCUGGGUGGAAGAGGCUCCUUUCUCCCUGGUGAUUCAUUUUCAGAACACACGGCCAUCCUUCCAAUGGCUUUGAGUUUCACGUCACCACCGGAAAGACCUGCCAGUUUCUUCCUGUUUGUGUGCCUGUCCACUGCCAUCAUGCUACUCCCAGGACUAUGGCUUCUGGGCACUCACUCACCCUUCAACAUGGCUUGUUCACUCCAGUUCUCCCUUUCCAAAUGUUCUCAAUCCCCUGGGCUGUGCGCCAAGGGGGAUUCAGCCCUUGCCCACCGGCUAUGGUCUGAAUGUUUGUGUCUUCCCCAGAUUAAUAUGUUGAAAUUUAAUCACAAAUGUGAUGGUGUAAUAAGGUGGGGACUUUGGGACUUUAUUAGGUCAUGGAGGGGGAGCCUCAUAAAAAAGGCUGCCUUGCCCCCUCCAUCGUGUAAAUCACCAUCUGUGAACCAGGAAAUGGGCCCUCACCAGACACCGAAUCUGCCGGUUCCUUGAUCUCGGACUUCCCAGUCUCCAGAACUGUGGGAAACACAUUUCUGUUGUUUAUGAGCCACCCAGUUUAAGGUAUUUUGUUAUAGCAGCCCAGAUGGACUAGGCCACCACCAUAGUCAGGGAAGAGCUGGCUGAUUUGUGCGUGUCUGCGCUGUGUCCCAAUGAAAGCACAAUAAUCAAUGAACAUUGAUUCUGCAAUCGAUGUUUGAAGGUCAAAGGAGUUGGGAAAGGGGGUCUCCUGAAGCCAAGGAAAAGCAUUGUACUCCCCAAAACUGUGCCAGCCAGGUUAACUUUUUGCGAGAUGCUACAGAUUGAGAUGCUUUAGUUUUACUUCUGGCUCUUUAAGCCCUACUCAAGCUCUAAUUUUGAUAUCUCGUUCUAGACGCCUUAGUUUGGGCCCCUCCCAGGCUCCCUUCUGUUUUUGUUCUUUUUUUCUAACAUCAUCCUUGGCUUUUCUUCUCCUUUAGGUUUGAUCUCCUGUCUCUUGGGUUGAGAAACCAUCCCCUCUGACUCCUGGCCCCCUGUGACCCCUCCAAAGCCCCCUGUACAGGUCUUUGGCCACACAGAGAUUCAACAGUCUAAUAAUCUAAAAUUGUAAAUGCCACAAUUUGUGUGCGUGUUUACUGUGUCUCAGUUUUGAGUUCUUUUUGAAAUCUUUUAGUUAUUCCAGAAGGGAUAGGAUAAAGAGAAGAAAUCAGUUAUACUCCCAGUGGCCAGGCAUGGUAGGGCAGAAAGAGUGUUGACACUCACUACCCCUGCAGGGGGAGAGGGCAGAGGACCCAGGUUAACUACCCAGAGAUGAGAUGGAUCCUGGUCUAACUCAGGCCCUGGGAUACCUGCACCAAUUGCUCUCAGCAGGUCGAGACAUCACAGAAGAAGAGAAGACAUGUCAACUCUCUACAAUAGUGUCUUAGCCCUGGAGAUACUAUUGGAGAGUGACAACAGACAGCAAACAGGGUUCUAUUCAUAGUGGCCAUGGUUUCCCCAAGCAGAGAACAUAUCCAACCAAAGGGACUUCAGCAAAGCUUUUCCUAAUCUGUGCUCUGAAAUGGCUAAGUAGAAGAGAGCUAUCUAGAGUGUAUGAGGAUGUCUUUAAAGUCAACCUUGCAAUAACUAUUGCAUGCAGACUGUAAUUGUGGGCUAAAAGUGAAGGCUGUUUUGUUAGGUGAGACCCUUCCAGAGCACCUCCUGCAUAUGUACACACAUUCUCUCUCUCUCUGUCUCACACACACACACACACACACCUCCCCCCACAACACACACACACACACACACACACACAACCUCCCCCCACAACACACACACACACACACACACACACACACCUCCCCCCACAACCCACACACACAAAACCAACCCCAUCCCAGGGAACCCAACAGUCAUAGAUCUCAUCUGGAGUCCAACUCCUAAUCCAGGUGUCAUGAUCAUCACGUGAGAGAUAGCAGAAUCUCCACCAAUUUUGGAAAGAACUACUCAAGUGUUUUCUAAAAGAAAUAAUGGAAAAAAGUAAACAGCCAAUUGAAUUGCCAAUAAUAAAAAUAGGAUGUGGCUAUCUCCUAUAUUUUGCCGUUUAUAUCCAAAAUAACUUAUGGACAUGCACAAAACAUCCAUGAAAAUAAAAACAUAACCAUUACCUUCAAAAAUCACCCUGGACCCUUUACAUUCUCACCUCUCUCCCUGCCAGCUAUCUGGCUCACUGAAGUCUUGACCUCCGGGGCUCAAGUGAUCUUCCCACCUCAGUCUCCUGACUAGCUGGGACCACAGGCACACGCCACCACGACUGGCUAGUUUUUUUUAUUGUCUGUGGAGGCAUGGUCUCACUAUGUUGCCCAGGUUGGUCUCAAAGUCCUGGGCUCAAGCAAUCUGCCACCUUGGCCUCCCAAAGUGCUGGGAUUACAGGCGUGAGCCACCGCACCUAGCCUCUAUCAUAAUUUUAUUGACAGAGCACAUGGUUGUUUAACCCAGUAAGAGUCUAUAUACUAUUCUUGAUUAGGCAAACUUUGGCUCAUGGAACAAAUUCAUUCUCAUGCUACCUGUUUUGUGAAUAAAAUCUUAUUGGAUCAGAGCCAUGGCCAUUCAUUUAUACACAUUAUACGUAGCUGCUUUCCUGCUACAACCACAAGGCCAAUCGACAGAGACCAUGUGGCCCAUCAAGCCUGAAAUGUUUACUAUCUGGCCUUUUACAGAGUUUGCUAAUCCCUGUUUUAGAUUAUAGAGGAUGUUUGAAUGGUCAAGUAGAGAUGACAAACUGAUGAUUCUAGCACUAGAGGGGCGAGUCGAGGACUGCAGAAACAAAAGCCA
rnacentral:lncRNA from 1 species